rnacentral:rRNA from 1 species
GUAGUCUGCAACUCGACUACAUGAAGCUGGAAUCGCUAGUAAUCGCGAAUCAGAAUGUCGCGGUGAAUACGUUCCCGGGUCUUGUACACACCGCCCGUCACACCAUGGGAGUCGGGAAUGCCCGAAGUCAGUGACCCAACCGGAAGGAGGGAGCUGCCGAAGGCAGGCUCGAUAACUGGGUGAAGUCGUAACAAGGUAAC